rnacentral:rRNA from 1 species
AAGAAGUAGGUAGCUUAACCUUCGGGAGGGCGCUUACCACUUUGUGAUUCAUGACUGGGGUGAAGUCGUAACAAGGUAACUGUAGGGGAACCUGCGGUUGGAUCACCUCCUUA